AAAUUGAAGAGUUUGAUCAUGGCUCAGAUUGAACGCUGGCGGCAGGCCUAACACAUGCAAGUCGAACGGUAACAGGAAACAGCUUGCUGUUUCGCUGACGAGUGGCGGACGGGUGAGUAAUGUCUGGGAAACUGCCCGAUGGAGGGGGAUAACUACUGGAAACGGUAGCUAAUACCGCAUAACGUCGCAAGACCAAAGAGGGGGACCUUCGGGCCUCUUGCUAUCGGAUGUGCCCAGAUGGGAUUAGCUAGUAGGUGGGGUAACGGCUCACCUAGGCGACGAUCCCUAGCUGGUCUGAGAGGAUGACCAGCCACACUGGAACUGAGACACGGUCCAGACUCCUACGGGAGGCAGCAGUGGGGAAUAUUGCACAAUGGGCGCAAGCCUGAUGCAGCCAUGCCGCGUGUAUGAAGAAGGCCUUCGGGUUGUAAAGUACUUUCAGCGGGGAGGAAAGGAGUAAAGUUAAUACCUUUGCUCAUUGACGUUACCCGCAGAAGAAGCACCGGCUAACUCCGUGCCAGCAGCCGCGGUAAUACGGAGGGUGCAAGCGUUAAUCGGAAUUACUGGGCGUAAAGCGCACGCAGGCGGUUUGUUAAGUCAGAUGUGAAAUCCCCGGGCUCAACCUGGGAACUGCAUCUGAUACUGGCAAGCUUGAGUCUCGUAGAGGGGGGUAGAAUUCC
rnacentral:rRNA from 1 species